ensembl:lncRNA
GUGGAAGUCAGCGUGUGAACACAGCCUUCACUGUCCUCAUGGUACUGAAGCUGUGGGUGGAGGAGGCAGGUCAAGUGUCGCUGUCUCUCCUUCACACAUUGCUGCAUCUUAGCCUACAUCCGGACUUUCAUGAUUGCCAAGGAAUGACAAGACACUAGAGAAGACUUUACUAAUUAACUAGGCCAAGCUAUCUGCUGCCCAGACUCCCUGCAACUUCAGUCAAAGCUGCCAAACUUAUAUGUACAAGUUUGGAUAGUGAUGUUCUUCUCCACUUGUGAUGUUCUAAUGAGUUGUUAAAUAUUUGCCCUCUAUUCAGGAAAAGGUGCUUUGUGCUAGCAAGAAAUGUGUUUUUUCUAUCUGUAUCCCGUGGAAAGUCAGUACACCUACCUCUGUUGUGUAUGCUCAUUUGGGCAAAUCUUUAUCUUCUGCCUCCCUGUAGUAAGCCACAUGUUGAUGACACUGUGAUGGCCUCCAGAGUCUCUAAGAAAUGCUGGGUGCAUCCUGUAUACUGCUGAAGGAUGAGGAGCCAGGGAGAGAGCCUCUUAUUUUUUCUCAGGACAAAAGCAAUCCUGGAUGCAAAACAUUCUGCUAGGCAGUUUCCAACUCUGAUUCUUCCACUGCCUGAAUAUACGAAACACUGUCUAUGUGAAACAUUUUCCACUCUUUGGAGAUACCCUUUUUCCUCUGUCAUCUUCAUUAUACUUAUAUGUUAAUAUAUAUUAUUUUGCAAUUUACAAAGCCUGUUCCUUAAAUAUAUAAAUGUGUACAAUUACGGUUAUUGUAUAUAUAUAAACAUAAACCAAUUUAUGUGAAAAUAAACCAGUUGUGACACUAUUUUUCCUUUCAAAAACCUAUCAAAACUGUCUAGUUUUACAAUGAAGAUUUGAAUUUGGAAGAGGAGGUCUAGAAGAGAGGACUCACGUCACAAUAUACAAUGCCUAGAAAUCAACAAUAGAUAUGAAUAUAUGGAUAAAAUUUAGUUUUAGCCUUAUUAAAGAAUGUAUUUACAUUUGAGAUUGUGUUUGUUU